rnacentral:tRNA from 2 species
GCGGCAUAGCGCGGUAGAGCGGCGAUGACUCGUUCAUGGCAUGGAAGAGGUCAGGGGUUCGAAUCCCCUAUGCUCCACCA